rnacentral:rRNA from 1 species
UACGAAGGGGGCUAGCGUUGCUCGGAAUCACUGGGCGUAAAGGGUGCGUAGGCGGGUCUUUUAAGUCAGGGGUGAAAUCCUGGAGCUCAACUCCAGAACUGCCUUUGAUACUGAGGAUCUUGAGUUCGGGAGAGGUGAGUGGAACUGCGAGUGUAGAGGUGAAAUUCGUAGAUAUUCGCAAGAACACCAGUGGCGAAGGCGGCUCACUGGCCCGAUACUGACGCUGAGGCACGAAAGCUAGGGGAGCAAACGGG